GCGCGGGUAGCCCAACGGACAGAGCGGCUGCCUCCUAAGCAGCAGGCUGCGGGUUCGAGUCCCGCCCCGCGCA
rnacentral:tRNA from 1 species